UGUUCCAGCCUCUUCCUCUUAUGCAGACCCUGGGAAGCCCAAAACUACAUUUUCUAGACUUCCUCACAGCUUGGGUUCUGGAUAUGAAUUGCAUGCCAUCUAUUCGAUGCAUUCUUGCAAGAUUUGGAGGAUGAAAAUGAAACAGAAGCUAUCCUCCUACCCAUUUUUGGUGAUUUUCUUGAAAGCAAGCUCACAGCAGCAGCAAUGUUCUAGAGUCCAUCCUUGAGAUUCUUCGGUAUCUAGGGUCCACGUCCCAGUGCCAAGUCACCAGUUCCGUGAAUAUCAAGAUACAGUCGAGUGGUGGCAGUGAUGGUAACAGCAGCAGUAUCAGCAACUUCCUGGUCUGGCUUCCUGAUCCGUGGAGUGGUCUCAGGUGAUGUGGUCCUACAUAUGGAAGGUGGGCUUCACCUAUGGGAAAGAAGCAGGAGACACAUUCAUUGAGCACUGUGGCAGUGUCACACUGGCCAAGCCCUUGAUGUUCCAGCUGUCACAGUGAGACACCAGACUUGUGGGAAAACCUGUCUUGAAUUCCCAGCCGCAGGCAAAGAACUGUCCUGCUAAGUCCAGCGAACCCAAAUUGCACAACUGUCUUGAGAUCAUCCUGCAUGGACCCCAUUGCUGGUGAGGGCUUUUCUCCUCCUGAAAUCCUUUUAAGCCUGGGGAAAAGAGAGUAAGGAGAAAGUGGAAUGCGAAAGCAGCAAUCAGCUGGAAAUUCUGUCAGGAGAUGGAGUAGGUGAGAAGCCAGAGACUGGAUGGUGAAGUCACCCAGAGAUGAGCAUCGUCAGCAAGACUGGAGGGACAAAGGGAGGAGACUCGCUACAGGAAACUGGAUCCACAGUGGAAUGAGGCAGCUCCUGCCAGAGGUACCGCAGAGGCAGAGAGAAAUACUUAGAAUUCUCCCUUCCCAUCCCUGGCCCCAUCUCCUGCUAGUGUCAUCCAGUGGCUGAACCCAGCCAGAGUCAGUACCACGGGGACCUGCAGGCAUCCGGAGCCCCCCGGAGAGAUGGACAGGGGCAGGACCAGAGAGCACGAGAGGGCAAGAGGGCUCAGUGUCCGCACACCAAUGACAAAGGCCAGCCACUGGGGAUAGAACAGGGUUUGGCUCUGUUUUGUUUUGUUUUCAUCUUCCUAAACGUUCUCCUUAAAUCUCUAGACCCAAAGCCUGGAGGGCUAAGUUUAGAGUCUAUAACAUAAACCACAGGGUGUAGAACAUGAGGUCAUGGCAAUUUCCUGUCACACAAAAAGGCAAUAAAAACCCUUCCUGGCUUGGGAGAAGGAGCUUGGAGGAAAUGCUGAGGAACACAGGAUUCUCAAGCUCCGUGAACGGGGACAGGCGGGGAAAAGGAGCCUCAGCUUGAAAUUCCUAGAGCAGGGGGUGC